rnacentral:rRNA from 1 species
CAAUAGCGUAUAUUAAAGUUGUUGCAGUUAAAAAGCUCGUAGUUGAACCUUGGGCCUGGCUGGCCGGUCCGCCUCACCGCGUGCACUGGUUCGGCCGGGCCUUUCCCUCUGGGGAUCCGCAUGCUCUUCACUGAGUGUGUUGGGGAACCAGGACUUUUACUGUGAAAAAAUUAGAGUGUUCAAAGCAGGCCUAUGCUCGAAUACAUUAGCAUGGAAUAAUAGAAUAGGACGUGUGGUUCUAUUUUGUUGGUUUCUAGGACCGCCGUAAUGAUUAAUAGGGACAGUCGGGGGCAUCAGUAUUCAAUUGUCAGAGGUGAAAUUCUUGGAUUUAUUGAAGACUAACUACUGCGAAAGCAUUUGCCAAGGAUGUUUUCAUUAA